ACUGUAUUUCCUCCGUCCAAAAAUACUUAUCAUCGCAAUGAAUAAAAAUGGAUAUAUCUAGAUGUAUUUUAGUUCUAGAUAUAUUCUUUUUGUUCAUUUUGAUGACAAGUAUUUUCGAAUGGAUGGAGUACUAG
rfam:Triticum aestivum genome assembly, contig: Triticum_aestivum_CS42_TGACv1_scaffold_375740_5AL